rnacentral:lncRNA from 1 species
UUGAACAAGUUUACAUGUAAUGUGUUACAUGUUUUGCAUUGUUGUUAGACUUUAUCCGCUGCGAAUUAUGCAAAUGUUUUAUUUUGAUUAAAUAAAUGAGCAUGACAGGAUAUUUUGGAAAACGGUGUGAAGUGUCAAGUGUGACACCCUUAAAUUGCAUAUCUACUCUGAUUUAUGUUUGGUUGUUUUAAUUAAAUAUUUGGGGUAAUUUAGAAGGGUGUUACACUCACAGUCACUGACCAAAC